UACGGGGGGGGCAAGCGUUGUUCGGAAUUACUGGGCGUAAAGGGCUCGUAGGUGGCCAACUAAGUCAGACGUGAAAUCCCUCGGCUUAACCGGGGAACUGCGUCUGAUACUGGUUGGCUUGAGUUUGGGAGAGGGACGCGGAAUUCCAGGUGUAGCGGUGAAAUGCGUAGAUAUCUGGAGGAACACCGGUGGCGAAGGCGGCGUCCUGGACCAAUACUGACACUGAGGAGCGAAAGCCAGGGGAGCAAACGGG
rnacentral:rRNA from 1 species